AUACGGAGGGGGCUAGCGUUGUUCGGAAUUACUGGGCGUAAAGCGCGCGUAGGCUGAUCUUUAAGUCAGGGGUGAAAUCCCGGGGCUCAACCUCGGAACUGCCUUUGAUACUGGAGAUCUUGAGUCCGGAAGAGGUUAGUGGAAUUCCCAGUGUAGAGGUGAAAUUCGUAGAUAUUAGGAAGAACACCAGUGGCGAAGGCGGCUCACUGGCUCGAUACUGACGCUGAGGUGCGAAAGCGUGGGGAGCAAACAGGAUUAGAUACCCCGGUAGUCC
rnacentral:rRNA from 1 species